rnacentral:rRNA from 1 species
CACGUAGGUGGUUUAGUAAGUCAGAUGUGAAAGCCCCGGGCUUAACCUGGGAACUGCAUUUGAUACUGCUUAACUAGAGUAUGGUAGAGGGAAGUGGAAUUCCGGGUGUAGCGGUGAAAUGCGUAGAUAUCCGGAGGAACACCAGUGGCGAAGGCGGCUUCCUGGACCAAUACUGACACUGAGGUGCGAAAGCGUGGGUAGCAAACA